GAAAGAAAAACUCAUUUACACGCAAAUUUGACCUCCCCAUGCUAAAUUCAUUCUUGGCACUGUUCAAACUAUAUGAGAAACAUUUCAGAACGGUUCAAAUACUAACCGAUUCUGGACCAAGGAAUCCCAUGGCUAGUAAAAC